rnacentral:rRNA from 1 species
UACGAAGGGUGCAAACGUUGCUCGGAAUCAUUGGGCGUAAAGCGCACGUAGGCGGCUGUGUAAGUCUCACUGUGAAAGUCCGGGGCUCAACCUCGGGAUUGCAGGGGAUACUGCACGGCUUGAGACAAGUAGAGGUUGGUAGAAUUCCGGGUGUAGCGGUGGAAUGCGCAGAUAUCAGGAGGAACACCAAUAGCGAAGGCAGCUCGCUGGGACGUUACUGACACUGAGGCGCGGAAAGCGUGGGGAGCGAACAGG